AGGGAUCUAUUUUGGAGACAACAAACUUGACUAAGGAAUCUCAAGAAGAAAAUAUAAUUCUGCUGCCAGGCCCCAAUGGAGCAAAUAGAGCUCGGGACCCAGGGGCCUUUGGAAGGAACAGGAAUGCGGUUAGAGGAGUGCAGGAAGGGGCUCUUGGGAUGUGCCACCCAGGAAGACAGAGGGCCAGUGCUGCUACCUGCAGCCACACGACUCCACGACCAUGUCCUCAUACUGCUUAUACACCACGUUGUUGGCAGAGUCAAUGAAGAGGAUGCUGAUGGGACUCAGCCGCGUGGGCACACAGCAGGUGGGUGGUGUGGACUCGGGGUCCAUGGAGUUCAUCAGGGUCUGGAUGACUGCAUGAUUCGUGGGCUCCAGGUGGGAGCGCAAUGGGAACUCGCACAGCCCCUCGCAGUGGAAAGCCUCGUACUCAAGGGGUGCGAUGAUCCAGUCGUCCCAGCCCAUGUCCUUGAAGUUGACAUGCAGUGCCUUCCGACUGCAGCGAGCCUUAAGGUUCUUGCUGGGUCGCUUGCCCUGGCGAGUGGCCAGUGGGGCCCGCCGUUUUCGCCGCUGGCUGAACAGGUACUCAUACACGGUCUUAUCGUCCUGGCCAGAGCGGGCCUUAAUCUCAUUAAAGAACAGGUCCCGUUUCUUGGUGCGGCCAAACACCAGGAACAGGGCUUUCUCGUGGACCUGCCGGGCGGCGCGGUCGAAGCCCAGGCCACGGAGGUCCACGGCCCUGCCCCGUUCCCAGGCCUCCAGCUCCAGGCACAGCUGGGCCGAGUUCUUAAAGUUUCGGAAGAGCUUCCAGAUGUCGAACACCUCCCAGCCAGAUCCGUCCAGGCCUGGCACGGAGCGCACAUCCAGCAAGGCGGCCGGCUGCCGGCCGCUGGGGCAGCUGGACAGCUUCAGCUGGGCAGCCCGCCCGCCUCCGGGGGCCGCUGGCUUGGCCGUGUCCGAGGGCUUCUUCCGCAAGAUCCGCAGCUCGGCCCCCAGCAGCCCAUCCUUCUCCAGGGCACUAAUGUCAAACACGUACCUCUGCUUCCUGACCACGGGACCUCGGUCAUCUAGAGAGAACACCCAGAAGUCAUUCCCUGCAACCUCACCAAGGGAGCCAGUCACUUCGAGGCUGCGGGGGAAGGCCCCAGCUCUCUCCCAGUCCAGAGAGCUUUCUUUCACCUCUGCCCCAUUCUGACAGAAGCCAAGAGCCAAACCACUGAGAGCCUUUUUGAAAAUGAGAGCAUUUCCUACAUAGCCGACCAAGUAGGGGUGUUCACCUGAAGAUGUGGCUGGGGAUGAUUUGCGUGAUUCUGGUGUUUGUGUCAUGAUAUACGUGUUAUCAGAGAUUUAUCAGCUUUGUAACUGCCUUCUACCUAUCUCUCUCCCAGCCAUGAGCUAACGUGAUGUCUCAUUUGUGAGAUAGGUGGAGUGAGCAUUAAAAUUACUCCUGUUGACUGGGCACAGUGGCUCACACCUGCAAUCCCAGCACUUUGGGAGGCUGAGGUGGGUGGAUUGCUUGAGCUCCGGAGUUCGAAACCAGCCUGCACAACAUGGUGACACUCUGUCUCUACAAAAAAUACAAAAAUUAACCAGGCAUGGUGGCGUGCACAUGUAGUCCCAGCUACUCAGGAGGCUGAGGUGGGAGGAUUGAUUGACCCCAGGGAGGUCAAGGCUUCAGUGAGCCGUGAAUUCGCUAUUGCACUCCGGCCUGGGCAACAGAGAAAGACCCUGGCU
ensembl:lncRNA GDF5-AS1 GDF5 antisense RNA 1